GGCCUUUCUUACAUUAUUCAGGUCCAGGUCACAUGAUGCACAGACAGCCCGUCCGACGCCGCGUUAGCUACUUGCCUACUUCAGCUAUAUGAAACGGCAAAAGUCUUCCCCUCGUUCCCCAAUCUCCUCUCCAUCGAAACCCUAGCACGACGCAAUUCCCGUCUUCCCACGCCGUAUCGCCGUUGCUAUGGGCAAGAAGCGGAAGCUCGAGCCCAAAUCGGCGGCAGGGUUCACGCCGGUUAAGGCCUCCCCGACCACCAGGUCUGCCACCGCUAAGGCCGCUGGUCUAUCCGAGGUCCUCGCCCCCGUCGAGGCUACGAUGGAGAAGCUGCCGCAGGGGGCAGGCGGCGAGGAUGUAGAGGAAAUCGAGGAGGUGGAGGUCGAGGAGGAAGUGGAAGUGGAAGAGGAAGAAGAAGGCGAGAGCGACCAGGCUUCGAUCCAGGCGCUGCUGGAUUCGUUCCCCAAGGACCAGCUCGUCGAGCUGUUACGCGACGCUGCCAUCGCUCACGGCGACGUGCUAACCACCAUCCGGCGCGUGGCCGACGCCGACCCGGCUCAGCGGAAGAUCUUCGUACACGGCCUCGGCUGGGACACCACAACCGACACCCUCACCGAGGCCUUCGGCCCAUACGGCGAGAUAGAGGAUCUCAAGGUCGUCACCGACCGCAACACGGGCAAGUGCAAGGGGUACGGGUUCAUCCUCUUCCGUCACCGCUCCGGCGCCCGAGCUGCACUACGCGAGCCCCAGAAGAAGAUUGGUAACCGCAGCACCGCCUGCCAGCUCGCCUCUGUUGGCCCUGUCCCUGGUGGUGCGCCCAACAGCGCUGCACCAGCCCCGGUUCAAUUGCAGUUGCCACCAGUGUCAGAGUAUACACAACGAAAGAUAUUUGUCAGCAAUGUUGGUGCAGAUAUCGAUCCGCAGAAAUUGCUUCAGUUCUUUGCGAGGUUUGGUGAGAUCGAGGAAGGCCCGCUUGGUCUUGACAAGGUCACUGGGAAACCCAAGGGAUUUGCUCUUUUUGUCUACAAGACCAUUGAAAGUGCCAAGAAGGCUCUUGAGGAGCCACAUAAGCAUUUUGAGGGAGUGAUGCUGCACUGCCAGAAGGCGAUUGAUGGACCAAAGCCGAACAAAUUAGGAGGAGCUGGAGGUUUUUUCGGUGCUGGAGCUUCAAGUGGGGGCAAGGGGUUUGCUGGUUAUGGAGCUACUAGUCAUUCUCUGCCCGGAACUGUUGGUAUUGUCCAGCCAAUGUCACCUCUGGCACCUGGAUUGGCUUCAUUGCCUGGUGGUAUUUCUGCUGCCCCAGGUGUGGAUCCUGCUCUGGGGCAGGCCUUGACAGCUUUGCUUGCCACCCAGCAGGGGGGUGGGCUGAGUUUUAAUAGCAUUCUGGGGGUCGGUGCUAAUGGAUCGGGGUUGCCUCCGCAGGGGCCAACUGGUGCAUUGGGUGGUAGCAGCGUGCAGGGGAUGCAAGGUGGUUAUAUGGGUGGCUACGGUGGUUCUGGUGGGUAUGGGGGUGCUUCUUCAGGAGGCCCUGGAAGACAUUACAUGGGUCAUUAGUAUCCUCGGUAGUUCAUUAUCUAUAUUUUUGAGGUUUCUGACAAGUCUUCCGGUUUUCAUGAUGAUUAUAACUAUUUUACUGUGGCCAGAAUGCCAGAUGAUUCUACAUGUUCCUGCUUGGCACUUAUAAACUUGCUGUUUUAAGCUGUUUCUGGCUACUCAAUUAUGGCUGUGGUCAAAGUUUUCAUAGGAACUUUGGUUCCCUCCACCUAUCAUUUCAAAACGAAAUUACCGUUUAGAUUUUCAAAAGGGCAUCUUAUGGCUGCAAGACUAUUGUAGAAGACUUCAUGUGGAUCUAAAGCAUUGUGGUAUUUAAUGAUAUUACUGUUUUUGUACGGUUUUCAAAAGGCCAAAUUAAGGCUUGCAAAACUAUUGUAAAAGACUUCCUGUGGGUUUAAAGCACUGAGCUAUUUAAUCACAACGGUUUUGUUUCAUA